CCCAGACUCCUACGGGAGGCAGCAGUGGGGGAUAUUGCACAAUGGGGGGAACCCUGAUGCAGCGACGCCGCGUGGGUGAAGAAGCGCCUCGGCGCGUAAAGCCCUGUCAGCAGGGAAGAAAAUGACGGUACCUGAAGAAGAAGCCCCGGCUAACUACGUGCCAGCAGCCGCGGUAAUACGUAGGGGGCAAGCGUUAUCCGGAUUUACUGGGUGUAAAGGGGGCGCAGACGGCGAUGCAAGCCAGGAGUGAAAGCCCGGGGCCCAACCCCGGGACUGCUCUUGGAACUGCGUGGCUGGAGUGCAGGAGGGGCAGGCGGAAUUCCUAGUGUAGCGGUGAAAUGCGUAGAUAUUAGGAGGAACCCCAGUGGCGAAGGCGGCCUGCUGGACUGCAACUGACGUUGAGGCCCGAAAGCGUGGGGAGCACACAGGAUUAGAUCCCCCCGUA
rnacentral:rRNA from 1 species